GAUUCCAGGGCCUCCUUGCCCCAAGCCAGAGACCCCAAGGUCUGCAGUAGAGGUCCUAGGAGCUGUGGUGUCCCGAUUGAGGGGGCUGCCCCAGCCUGGGGCCUUCUUGGGAUGUGUCUCUCCUCAUUGGCUCCAGGGGCAAGGAGGAGCCACGGGACCCAGGAUUCCCGACUGUUCCACCCAAGGCCCCACCUCCUCCCUCAGCGCAGCUUUGCAGGCGCUGGGGCUCCCAAAGGACGGAGCUUUGAAUCCACCUGGGAGGCUUAAGAGAAAGUGCUGAGUCCCCCAUGCCCUACCCCUGAGACUGCUGACAGGCAUCGCUGAGGGCUGCAGCUUUGGAAUCGGGCAUCUUCUGAGGAAGAGAAAGGCACCACAGCCACGGCACAGAAGACUAGUUCUAGGUGCAAUGUUUUAAGGGGAAGACUUACACUAUGAAGCUAGCCCAGAAGAGGGUGACUAGAGUACUGAGGAGUUUCUACCUGGAAGGGCUGUAAGGUAAGAUAAAUCUUGGUGUAGAGGGUGUUUAUGAAUAUGGGAAAGGCUGUCAUGUGCAAAGAGGCUGGUACAGUCAGCUGGACCCAGGGAAGAGAACUAGGAUGCUUGAGUGCAGGGCGCACUUCAAGCCAGUAUUAGGAAGAAUUUCAUAACGACUGGAGCUCAUUAGAAGGGAGAUGAGAUAUCUUCAAAUUAAUCCCCAUAGAUUCAAGAAUCCCUUAGAUUAAUCCCUUAGAAGAUUCUGGGAUAAUCUGGAUAAUUAUUUGUUAGAGAUGUGUGUGGAAGGAAUGUCUUCAGUGGAUCAGGUCUUUUUAUGAUUUCUCCCAACCUCAAGAGCUCAUGACGUCAUGGUUCCUUUCUUAGCUGUCUCCAGCUGGUCAGCUCCGUGUCUGCAAAGUUUAGAACGCGAAGAGCUUAUUUGUGAAGUGGUCCACACCAUACAGUCAAGCCAUUUUGACCCCAACCAGGAGCCAGGAUAACCUGGUUUGGUUCUUGACAGUGAUCAAAUGAGCCAAAAUAACAUUUGUUCUCUUAGUUAUUUUUCCUAGGUCAAACUUCUGAACCACUGGUGUGUUUUGUUUAGCUUAGAAUUUAAAAAAAGAGCUUGUUGCCAACAAGAAGGAAGUUUUUUUUUGUUUGUUUUGUUUUAAACUUCAGAUUCCUGGGUUUUUCUUGAAAAGCCACUGGUCCUACAGGCAGCAAUGGGGUCCCUGUGUUUCUUGCAUUCUGUAGAGGGGCUGGCAUUCCUGGGCUCACUGAGGCCCCACCCAGCUGCUUCCCUUAUUCGCUCACAUUAUCUGCCU
rnacentral:lncRNA from 10 species